rnacentral:rRNA from 1 species
UACGAAGGGGGCUAGCGUUGCUCGGAAUGACUGGGCGUAAAGGGCGCGUAGGCGGAUGGCACAGUCAGAUGUGAAAUUCCUGGGCUUAACCUGGGGGCUGCAUUUGAUACGUGUGAUCUAGAGUGAGGGAGAGGGUUGUGGAAUUCCCAGUGUAGAGGUGAAAUUCGUAGAUAUUCGGAAGAACACCAGUGGCGAAGGCGACUACCUGGUCUGGCAUUGACGCUCAUGUGCGAAAGCGUGGGGAGCAAACAGG